rnacentral:rRNA from 1 species
UACGUAGGGUGCGAGCGUUAAUCGGAUUUACUGGGCGUAAAGCGUGCGCAGGCGGCCCGUUAAGACAGGUGUGAAAUCCCUGGGCUCAACCUAGGAAUUGCGCUUGUGACUGGCGGGCUCGAGUACGGUAGAGGGGGGUGGAAUUCCUGGUGUAGCAGUGAAAUGCGUAGUGAUCAGGAGGAACACCGAUGGCGAAGGCAGCCCCCUGGGCCUGUACUGACGCUCAUGCACGAAAGCGUGGGGAGCAAACAGG